rnacentral:misc_RNA from 1 species
GAAUCGGGUUUCUACCUGAUCCGAGGUCACCUUUAAAAAUUGGGGGGUUUAGCGGCUGGAGCACGCCGGGACGAUCCGAACGAGGUUCGCGUUUUACCGCGUUUUACUGCGCUCAGUGUACCGACGAGCCCGCCGAUGAACUUGGGGGCCCCGGGCCGCGCAGGGCCCGGGCGCCCCACCCCCCAGCCGAGGCCCGCGGCCUCAAAUGACUCCCCCAAACGCUCGCCCCCCGUAUCCCCGCCGGCGAUCCGCGCGUCCAUGCCUGCGAUAACCCCAUUUCAUCCCACCACCUCCCCUUGCCGCGCGACGCGGCCCACUCCCCCCGAGCACAACCAUCCCUUGCCGAUGUAUUCAGAUACCUUUCGUCCCCGCUCAGGAGACACCAGCCACAAACAACCAUCUCCAAGCCCCAGCCAGGGUGUGGCCCCCGAACGCCCCAACACGAAGAAAAGGUGACCCCGGAUCAGGUUGGAACACCCGCUGAGCGUCCGCACCCAGAGCCCGGAGGAAGGAACAUUACUGAGUUGAAAAACUCAACCCUGUGAACAUAACUCUGUCGUUGCUUCGGCGGGCACGCCCGCCGGAGGUUCAAAACUCUUAUUUUUUCCAGUAUCUCUGAGCCUGAAAGACAAAUAAUCAAAACUUUCAACAACGGAUCUCUUGGUUCUGGCAUCGAUGAAGAACGCAGCGAAAUGCGAUAAGUAAUGUGAAUUGCAGAAUUCAGUGAAUCAUCGAAUCUUUGAACGCACAUUGCGCCCGCCGGUAUUCCGGCGGGCAUGCCUGUUCGAGCGUCAUUUCAACCCUCAAGCCUCGGCUUGGUGUUGGGGCGAUCAUCUCUGCGACAGCACUCAGCUCCGCCGUGGAGGUUGUGAUUAUUAGUUGUUCAGCAUCAUAAGAUAUAGUGAAAAAAAGAAUUUUGAAACAUCAGCGGGGGUGGCCGCCGAAGCAACAACUUCUGAAAGGUUGACCUCGGAUGAGGGAUGAAUACCCGCUGAAGUUACGCCCUCAAAUCCUACAAGAAAAAAAAAAACGAUCACACCAAACUCACAAG